UACGUAGGGUGCGAGCGUUAAUCGGAAUUACUGGGCGUAAAGCGUGCGCAGGCGGUUGGGCAAGACAGGUGUGAAAUCCCCGGGCUUAACCUGGGAACUGCAUUUGUGACUGCAAAGCUGGAGUGCGGCAGAGGGGGAUGGAAUUCCGCGUGUAGCAGUGAAAUGCGUAGAUAUGCGGAGGAACACCGAUGGCGAAGGCAAUCCCCUGGGCCUGCACUGACGCUCAUGCACGAAAGCGUGGGGAGCAAACAGG
rnacentral:rRNA from 1 species